GAUGAACGCUAGCUACCGUCCUAACACAUGCAAGUCGAGGGGCAGCGGGAAGGAAGCUUGCUUUCUUCGCCGGCGACCGGCGCACGGGUGCGUAACGCGUAUCGAACCUACCCUUUACUCGAGAACAGCCUUGCGAAAGCAAGAUUAAUGCCCGAUGUUCCGCGUUUGCUGCAUGGCAAAUUCGGCAAAGAUUUAUCGGUAUGAGAUGGCGAUGCGUCCCAUUAGCUAGUUGGUGAGGUAAUGGCUCACCAAGGCAUCGAUGGGUAGGGGUUCUGAGAGGAAGGUCCCCCACAUUGGAACUGAGACACGGUCCAAACUCCUACGGGAGGCAGCAGUGAGGAAUAUUGGUCAAUGGACGAAAGUCUGAACCAGCCAAGUAGCGUGCAGGAUGACGGCCCUCUGGGUUGUAAACUGCUUUUAGUUGGGAAUAAAAAGAGGGACGUGUCCCUUAUUGUAUGUACCAUCAGAAAAAGGACCGGCUAAUUCCGUGCCAGCGGCCGCGGUAAUACGGAAGGUCCAGGCGUUAUCCGGAUUUAUUGGGUUUAAAGGGAGCGUAGGUGGACUGUCAAGUCAGUUGUGAAAUCCGCGGGCUCAACCUGCGGCCUGCAGUUGAAACUGGCGGUCUUGAGUCCGUUCAGGGAUGCUGGAAUUCAUGGUGUAGCGGUGAAAUGCUCAGAUAUCAUGAAGAACUCCAAUCGCGAAGGCAGGCAUCCGGGCCGGAACUGACACUGAGGCUCGAAAGUGCGGGUAUCAAACAGG
rnacentral:rRNA from 1 species